rnacentral:misc_RNA from 1 species
GGUUCUAAAUCAAUAACAAUCCCAACAUCAAUCCUAUGCAAAAUUGCGUAAAAGGGUUUCCCUGAAUUCUUGGAGUGAAUCCAAAGAGGGUUCAGUAACGUGAUUUCCCUUGCUCCAAAUGCUUUUUCUAGUAAAACCGCACUCGAGGGAGUGAAAAGAGUACGCACAUCAGUCCCAAUAGAAAGGAUUUCCGGUUUCUCAAGAGAAGGGACUGAUUGCGGCGUUAAACCGAGCAU